UACGUAGGCAGCGAGCGUUGUUCGGAGUUACUGGGCGUAAAGGGCGUGUAGGCGGUUGUUUAAGUUUGGUGUGAAAUCUCCCGGCUCAACUGGGAGGGUGCGCCGAAUACUGAAUGACUAGAGUGCGGGAGAGGAAAGUGGAAUUCCUGGUGUAGCGGUGAAAUGCGUAGAUAUCAGGAGGAACACCGGUGGUGUAGACGGCUUUCUGGACUGUGAUUGACGCUGAGGCGCGAAAGCGUGGGGAGCAAACAGG
rnacentral:rRNA from 1 species